rnacentral:misc_RNA from 1 species
AGCUGACAAUACAAGUAUAGGGGAGAUUGCCAAAUUUGGAGCACAUCAAUAGUUUCAGAUUCCAAUUGCAACUUCUAAGUGCUACAGCAGUUCUAAUAAGUCUUUUUAGAUACACAGACAUUGUCGGUACAAUAGUUAUCAAAACACUAUGAGAUGUCAGAAUGCAGGAGUCGGCAUUCCCCUAAUAUAUGCUAGUAAAACUGUAUGAACUACUCAACUCUCUCCAUCUUCACCAAGCUCACCAUCUUCUAGCUCUUCAUGCCCACCAUUUCGACGUGAUCCAUCCCUAUCUCUUCUGUAUCUUUUAUGCCGACUUUCACCAUCAGAUUCAGGUGAAUGUGCAUGCUUCUUCGACUUUUUACGAUCACUGCUAUGUCGGUGGGACUUUCUUAAGUCCUCUCUCUCA